UGGGGAAUUUUGCGCAAUGAGCGAAAGCUUGACGCAGCAACGCCGCGUGAUCGAAGAAGCUCUGCGGAGUGUAAAGAUCUGUCAUAGGGGAAGAUAAGUUCCGUUAUUAACACCAUCGGGAUGUGACGGUACCCUAUAAGAAAGCCCCGGCUAACUUCGUGCCAGCAGCCGCGGUAAUACGAGGGGGGCAAGCGUUGUCCGGAUUUAUUGGGCGUAAAGAGUUCGUAGGCUGGUUGGUCAGUCGAAAUUGAAAUCCCACGGCUUAACCGUGGACCCGGUUUUGAUACUGCCAAUCUUGAGUGAGGUAGAGGUAAGCGGAAUUCCUGGUGUAGCGGUGAAAUGCGUAGAUAUCAGGAGGAACACCAAAGGCGAAGGCAGCUUACUGGACCUAUACUGACGCUGAGGAACGAAAGCGUGGGGAGCAAACAGG
rnacentral:rRNA from 1 species